GACGAACGCUGGCGGCGUGCUUAACACAUGCAAGUCGAGCGGUAAGGCCCUUUCGGGGGUACACGAGCGGCGAACGGGUGAGUAACACGUGGGUGACCUGCCCUCAGCUCUGGGAUAAGCCCGGGAAACUGGGUCUAAUACUGGAUAUGACUCCAUGACGCAUGUUGUGGGGUGGAAAGCCUUGUGCGGCUGGGGAUGGGCCCGCGGCCUAUCAGCUUGUUGGUGGGGUGAUGGCCUACCAAGGCGACGACGGUAGCCGGCCUGAGAGGGCGACCGGCCACACUGGGACUGAGACACGGCCCAGACUCCUACGGGAGGCAGCAGUGGGGAAUCUUGCGCAAUGCGCGAAAGCGUGACGCAGCAACGCCGCGUGGGGAAGACGGCCU
rnacentral:rRNA from 1 species